rnacentral:rRNA from 1 species
AUUGAACGCUGGCGGCAUGCCUUACACAUGCAAGUCGAACGGCAGCACGGGAGCAAUCCUGGUGGCGAGUGGCGGACGGGUGAGUAAUAUAUCGGAACGUGCCCAGUCGUGGGGAUAACGCAGCGAAAGCUGUGCUAAUACCGCAUACGAUCUCUGGAUGAAAGCGGGGGACUCAGCAAUGGGCCUCGCGCGAUUGGAGCGGCCGAUAUCAGAUUAGCUAGUUGGUGGGGUAAAAGCCCACCAAGGCGACGAUCUGUAGCUGGUCUGAGAGGACGACCAGCCACACUGGAACUGAGACACGGUCCAGACUCCUACGGGAGGCAGCAGUGGGGAAUAUUGGACAAUGGGCGAAAGCCUGAUCCAGCCAUGCCGCGUGUGUGAAGAAGGUCUUCGGAUUGUAAAGCACUUUAAGUUGGGAGGAAGGGUAGGUAACCUAAUACGUUGCUACUUUGACGUUACCGACAGAAUAAGACACCGGCUAACUUCG